UACGUAGGGUGCGAGCGUUGUCCGGAAUUAUUGGGCGUAAAGAGCUCGUAGGCGGUGUGUCACGUCGGCCGUGAAAACCUGGGGCUUAACUCUGGGCGUGCGGUCGAUACGGGGCAUCACUAGAGUUCGGCAGGGGAGACUGGAAUUCCUGGUGUAGCGGUGAAAUGCGCAGAUAUCAGGAGGAACACCGGUGGCGAAGGCGGGUCUCUGGGCCGAUACUGACGCUGAGGAGCGAAAGCAUGGGUAGCGAACAGG
rnacentral:rRNA from 1 species